UACGUAGGCAGCAAGCGUUGUUCGGAGUUACUGGGCGUAAAGGGUGCGUAGGCGGCCGAUUAAGUUUGGUGUGAAAUCUCCCGGCUCAACCGGGAGGGUGCGCCGGAAACUGAUGGGCUAGAGUGCGGGAGGGGAGAGUGGAAUUCCUGGUGUAGCGGUGAAAUGCGUAGAUAUCAGGAGGAACACCGGUGGUGUAAACGGCUCUCUGGACCGCGACUGACGCUGAGGCACGAAAGCGUGGGGAGCAAAC
rnacentral:rRNA from 1 species